rnacentral:rRNA from 1 species
GACGAACGCUGGCGGCGUGCCUAAUACAUGCAAGUCGAACGAUCCGUUCCGGCGGAUUCCCUGCUGACUUUUGGAGCGGAGGGGUGCGUACCACGUGGUUAAACUACCUCAAAGAACGGGUCAAAUUCGGGUAACAGUAGCUAAUACCGGAUAAUAUAUCGUACCAGUUUGUUCCGUAGUGCAUGAGGGUGUUGGGGGCUUUAAGAGAUGGCUCAGGGCUGCAUUAGCUAGUUGGUAAGGUAACGGCUUACCAAGGCAACGACGCGUAGCCGACCUGAGAGGGUGAUCGGCCACACUGGAACUGAGACACGGCCCAGACUCCUACGGGAGGCAGCAGUAGGGAAUCUUCCGCAAUGGACGAAAGGGUGACAGAGCAACGCCGCGUGAGUGAUGAAGGUCUUCGGAUCGUAAAACUCUGUUGUUAGGGAAGAACAAAUGCGUUAGUAACUGAGCACGUCUUGACGGUACCUAAACAGAAAGCCACGGCUAACUACGUG